CCUACGGGAGGCAGCAGUAAGGAAUAUUGGUCAAUGGACGAAAGUCUGAACCAGCCAUGCCGCGUGAAGGAUGAAGGCCCUCUGGGUUGUAAACUUCUUUUAUCUGGGACGAAAAAGCUCAUUCUUGAGCACUUGACGGUACCAGAGGAAUAAGCACCGGCUAACUCCGUGCCAGCAGCCGCGGUAAUACGGAGGGUGCAAGCGUUAUCCGGAUUUACUGGGUUUAAAGGGUGCGUAGGUGGGCAGUUAAGUCAGUGGUGAAAUCUCCGAGCUUAACUCGGAAACUGCCAUUGAUACUAUCUGUCUUGAAUAUCCUGGAGGUGAGCGGAAUAUGUCAUGUAGCGGUGAAAUGCUUAGAUAUGACAUAGAACACCAAUUGCGAAGGCAGCUCACUACGGGAUUAUUGACACUGAGGCACGAAAGCGUGGGGAUCAAACAGGAUUAGAUACCCUGGUAGUCCACGCCCUAAACGAUGGAUACUCGACAUCAGCGAUACACUGUUGGUGUNUGAGNGAAGANAUAAGUAUCCACCGCGGAGACGAGCGCGAGAGUAGUAACGUACGAAGAAAGUUAGUACGGACGUAGAGGACGUUAGCCGACGGACGACGACGAGGGGAGGUAGG
rnacentral:rRNA from 1 species